rnacentral:misc_RNA from 1 species
AAGUCGUAACAAGGUUUCCGUAGGUGAACCUGCGGAAGGAUCAUUACGCAAGGGGCCCCUCGCAGUGCUCUCGAGCCGGCCGGGGCCCCGAAGAUACCAACCCUUGCCUUUUGAGCACCUCUGUUUCCUCGGCAGGCCCGCCUGUCAAUGGGGACCCAAACCAAACCACCAGUGUAUGCAGUAAACGUCUACAAGCAAUAAUUAAAACUUUCAACAACGGAUCUCUUGGUUCUG